AUUGAACGCUAGCGGGAUGCCUUACACAUGCAAGUCGAACGAGUGGCGAACGGGUGAGUAAUGUAUCGGAACGUGCCCUGUAGCGGGGGAUAACUACUGGAAACGGUAGCUAAUACCGCAUACCAUCGGAUGUGCCCAGAUGUGAUUAGCUAGUAGGUGGGGUAACGGUUAAACUAGGCGACGAUCCCUAGCUGGUCUGGGAGGAUGACCAGCCAAACUUGAACGGGGACACGUUCCAGACUCCUACGGGAGUCAGUAGUGGGGAAUAUUGCACAAUGGGCGCAAGCCUGAUGCAGCCAUGCCGCGUGUAUGAAGAAGGCCUUCGGGUUGUAAAGUACUUUCAGCGAGGAGGCGUUACUCGCAGAAGAAGCACCGGCUAACUCCGUGCCAGCAGCCGCGGUAAUUC
rnacentral:rRNA from 1 species